rnacentral:rRNA from 1 species
AUUGAACGCUGGCGGCAGGCCUAACACAUGCAAGUCGAACGAGUUGCGGACGGGUGAGUAAUGUCUGGGAAACUGCCCGAUGGAGGGGGUUACCUACUGGAAACGUUAGCUAAUACCGCAUACCAUCGGAUGUGCCCAGAUGGGAUUAGCUAGUAGGUGGGUUAAAGGCUCACUUAGGCGACGAUCCCUAGCUGGUCUGAGAGGAUGACCAGACACACUGGAACUGAGACACGGUCCAGGCUCCAACGGGAGGCAGCAGUGGGGAAUAUUGCACAAGGGGCGCAAGCCUGAUGCAGCCAUGCCGCGUGUAUGAAGAAGGCCUUCGGGUUGUAAAGUACUUUCAGUGGGGAGGCGUUACCCGCAGAAGAAGCACCGGCAAACUCCGUGCCAGCAGCCGCGGUAAUAC